rnacentral:rRNA from 1 species
UGCAGUCGAGCGCGAAUAGGGGCAACCCUUAGUAGAGCGGCGCACGGGUGCGUAACACGUGGAUAAUCUGCCUGGAUGCCUGGGAUAACCAGUCGAAAGAUUGGCUAAUACCGGAUAAGCCCACGGUCUCUUCGGAGACUGAGGGAAAAGGUGGCCUCUGUAUACAAGCUAUCACAACCAGAUGAGUCCGCGGCCCAUCAGCUAGUUGGCGGGGUAAUGGCCCACCAAGGCGACGACGGGUAGCUGGUCUGAGAGGACGAUCAGCCACACUGGAACUGAGACACGGUCCAGACUCCUACGGGAGGCAGCAGUGGGGAAUUUUGCGCAAUGGGCGAAAGCCUGACGCAGCAACGCCGCGUGUGUGAUGAAGGUCUUUGGAUUGUAAAGCACUUUCGACCGGGACGAAACCGUAAAGCCUAAUACGCUUUGCCUUGACGGUACCGGGAGAAGAAGCACCGGCUAACUCUGUGCCAGCAGCCGCGGUAAUACAGAGGGUGCAAGCGUUGUUCGGAAUUAUUGGGCGUAAAGCGCGUGUAGGCGGCUUUGCAAGUCGGGUGUGAAAGCCCUCAGCUCAACUGAGGAAGUGCGCCCGAAACUGCAGAGCUUGAGUGCCGGAGAGGGU